CCUACGGGUGGCAGCAGUGAGGAAUAUUGGUCAAUGUUCGGGAGCCUGAACCAGCCAAGUCGCGUGAGGGAAGACGGUCCUGAGUAUCGUAAACCUCUUUUGUCAGGGAACAAAGACCGCGACGCGUCGCGUUACGAGUGUACCCGCAGAAAAAGCAUCGGCUAACUCCGUGCCAGCAGCCGCGGUACUACGGAAGAUGCGAGCGUUAUCCGGAUUUCUUGGGUUUUAAGGUUUCGCAGGCGGUAGAUUAAGUCAGCGGUCAAAGUCAGGGGCUCAACCCCUGCGAGCCGUUGAAACUGGUUGUAGUGAGGUGGAGAGAAGUAUGCGGAAUGCGUGGUGUAGCGGUGAAAGGCAUAGAGAGCGCGCAGAACUCCGAUUGCGAAGGCAGCAUGCCGGCGCCCAACUGACGCUGAGGCACGAAAGUGUGGGUAUCGAACAGGAUUAGAUACCCCAGUAGUC
rnacentral:rRNA from 1 species